UAAUUUGUUUGAAAUUCAAAGAAUCUGGCGGUACUUUAGUCUAGUUAGAGGAACCUGUUAUAUAAACGAUAAACCACGUAGAAUCUUUCUUGUUCUUGUAUAGCCAGUAUACCUUCAUUGUUAGAUAAUUUUAUAUAUGAAUUAUUGAAAUCGAGAAAAUCAAGUAUAUUAGAUCAAGGUGCUGCUAAUGAGCAAGUAUAAAUGGGUUACAAUAUUUUAAAAGAGGCUGAUUAUAGUGAGAAUUCACUAUGUGAGGAUGGAUUUAAUUGUAAGUUUAAAUUUAGUAAGGUAAAGUGAUAAUAGCUCUAAAGUGUGUACAUAUUGCCCGUCGCUUUCAUUAAAUCAGAUGAGAUAA
rnacentral:rRNA from 1 species